GGAGAGGUGGCUCAGAGGUUAAGAGCACUGGCUGCUCUUCCAGAGGUCCUGAGUUCAAUUCCCAGCACCUACA
rfam:Neotoma lepida isolate 417 scaffold_1559, whole genome shotgun sequence.